rnacentral:rRNA from 1 species
UGAGGAAUAUUGGUCAAUGGGCGAGAGCCUGAACCAGCCAAGUCGCGUGAGGGAGGAAGGUCCUACGGAUUGUAAACCUCUUUUGCCGGGGAGCAAAGGGGCCAUUGAUGGCAGGAUGAGCGUACCCGGAGAAAAAGCAUCGGCUAACUCCGUGCCAGCAGCCGCGGUAAUACGGAGGAUGCGAGCGUUAUCCGGAUUUAUUGGGUUUAAAGGGUGCGCAGGCGGCGCGUCAAGCCGGUGGUAAAAUUGCGGGGCUCAACCCCGUAGAGCCAUCGGAACUGGCGUGCUUGAGUGGAGAAGAAGUAUGCGGAAUGCGAGGUGUAGCGGUGAAAUGCAUAGAUAUCGCGCAGAACCC